rnacentral:lncRNA from 1 species
AUGAUCAUGUCAGCCGUUAUUAUGUAGGUCUUAUGACAGACGUACAGGUAUAAGACAAUGCCUAAAUACAUAGUCUUUUUCCCACUUGCAGAAUCAGUGAGGUGUACACUGCCGGUAAGAUGGGGACCUUCAUAGCUGAUUCAUUAUUAGAGUAGGCCUUGGUCAAUGGGUAUUUUUCACGUUUGAUGUACUAGUUGGAAUAUUUCCUGUCUGUCUCAGGAAGAUCACAGCGAAGUAUAAGAGGAGCUCUGUGUGGCUGUGUUGGUGUGGCUGUCAUCAUUCGCUUCAUAGUGAAGACUAUACGGACUAAGGAGCCAGGGAAGGAKCUGAAACAGGACGUGGCCCUCAACACGACCACUGAACCAGGAAAAAAAGAAGAUCCUGUCCCCCCCUCAGUCUGAGA